rnacentral:rRNA from 1 species
UACGUAGGGGGCAAGCGUUGUCCGGAAUCAUUGGGCGUAAAGAGCGUGUAGGCGGCCCGAUAAGUCCGCUGUGAAAGUCCAGGGCUCAACCCUGGAAUGCCAGUGGAAACUGUCGGGCUGGAGUCCGGAAGAGGCGAGUGGAAUUCCUGGUGUAGCGGUGAAAUGCGCAGAUAUCAGGAGGAACACCAAUGGCGAAGGCAGCUCGCUGGGACGGUACUGACGCUGAGACGCGAAAGCGUGGGGGAGCAAACAGG